rnacentral:rRNA from 1 species
AUUGAACGCUGGCGGCAGGCCUAACACAUGCAAGUCGAGCGGAUGAAGGGAGCUUGCUCCUGGAUUCAGCGGCGGACGGGUGAGUAAUGCCUAGGAAUCUGCCUGGUAGUGGGGGAUAACGUCCGGAAACGGGCGCUAAUACCGCAUACGUCCUGAGGGAGAAAGUGGGGGAUCUUCGGACCUCACGCUAUCAGAUGAGCCGAGGUCGGAUUAGCUAGUUGGUGGGGUAAAGGCCUACCAAGGCGACGAUCCGUAACUGGUCUGAGAGGAUGAUCAGUCACACUGGAACUGAGACACGGUCCAGACGCCUACGGGAGGCAGCAGUGGGGAAUAUUGGACAAUGGGCGAAAGCCUGAUCCAGCCAUGCCGCGUGUGUGAAGAAGGGCUUCGGAUUGUAAAGCACUUUAAGUUGGGAGGAAGGGCAGUAAGUUAAUACCUUGCUGUUUUGACGUUACCAACAGAAUAAGCACCGGCUAACUUCGUG